CAAGAUUUGUAGAGAUUGCUUUGUGGACGCUGUGAAGACAGGAGGUGGGAUCUGUCCCGGGUGUAAGGAGCCUUACAGGAACACGGAUCUAACAGACUUGGCUGAGAACAAUAACAAGGGGCAGCAGCAAAGGCCUAUGCUUCCUCCACCUUCUUCUGGUGGUGGGUCCAAGAUGGAGAGGAGACUGUCGUUGAUGAAGUCAACUAAGUCCGGUUUGAUGAGGAGUCAAACCGGGGAUUUUGAUCAUAACCGGUGGUUGUUUGAGACUAGUGGGACUUAUGGUUACGGUAAUGCUUUUUGGACGAAAGAUGGGAACUUAGGUAGUGAGAAGGAUGGUAGUCACGGUAUGGGGCCUCAGGAUCUGAUGAGCAGACCGUGGAGACCGCUUACUCGGAAGCUCCAGAUUCCUGCAGCGGUUAUUAGUCCUUACAGGUGAAAAAAUGUUUGUUCUAAUGUAUCCAGUAUAUCAUUAUAAUUUAGCUAAAAAUGUGGUGCUUAGGCGUCCGCCUAGUCGGCAAAUCGGACCUAAACAAAGAAACUUUUGUAGAAGGAUUUAAAAAAAAAAAAACCGGUUAAGGUGUUAAAAAAAACGGUCUAAGCCUCCGCCUAAUCAAUAAUUCCAUAUAAGGAUUUCUUGAACAUUUCAAACUUUUAUUGAUACAUUUUAUUUUUCUUGUGCAGGCUUUUGAUAUUUAUAAGGAUUGUUGUUCUUGCACUGUUCUUGAUGUGGAGGAUUAAGCACCAGAACCAAGAUGCAAUAUGGCUAUGGGGGAUGUCUGUGGUUUGUGAGCUUUGGUUCGCCUUCUCUUGGCUUCUUGAUCAGCUUCCGAAGCUGUGUCCCAUCAACCGAGCUACUGAUCUCAACGUUCUCAAAGAGAAAUUCGAAACUCCCACAACGAGCAACCCGACAGGGAAGUCUGAUCUCCCUGGACUAGACAUGUUUGUAUCAACAGCAGAUCCGGAGAAAGAGCCUCCUCUCGUCACUUCCAACACCAUUUUAUCCAUCCUAGCUGCCGACUACCCUGUGGAAAAGCUUGCCUGCUAUGUCUCAGACGACGGAGGAGCGCUUCUGACGUUUGAAGCCAUGGCUGAAGCAGCUAGUUUCGCAAACAUAUGGGUUCCUUUCUGUCGUAAACACAACAUCGAGCCGAGGAAUCCGGAUUCUUAUUUUAGUCUGAAGAGAGAUCCUUACAAGAACAAGGUGAAGGCUGAUUUCGUGAAGGAUAGGAGGAGGGUGAAGCGUGAGUAUGAUGAGUUUAAGGUUAGGAUCAACGGCUUGCCUGACUCUAUCAGGCGACGUUCUGAUGCUUAUCACGCGAGGGAAGAGAUUAAUGUAGGGAUUGCUUUGUGGACGCUGUGAAGACAGGAGGUGGGAUCUGUCCCGGGUGUAAGGAGCCUUACAGGAACACGGAUCUAACAGACUUGGCUGAGAACAAUAACAAGGGGCAGCAGCAAAGGCCUAUGCUUCCUCCACCUUCUUCUGGUGGUGGGUCCAAGAUGGAGAGGAGACUGUCGUUGAUGAAGUCAACUAAGUCCGGUUUGAUGAGGAGUCAAACCGGGGAUUUUGAUCAUAACCGGUGGUUGUUUGAGACUAGUGGGACUUAUGGUUACGGUAAUGCUUUU
rnacentral:lncRNA from 1 species